CGGGGUGUAGCUCAGCUUGGUAGAGCACUGCCUUCGGGAGGCAGGGGCCGGAGGUUCGAAUCCUCUCACCCCGACCA
rnacentral:tRNA from 7 species